GGGAGCUUAGAUGUGGAAGCUCUUUGGAAACCAAGAAACACUCUGAAAAUGAAAAGGGUGGAAGAGUAAACUGUUCCUGUUUCUCCAUCUUGACAGGAAGCAGAAGUUCUCCUUAGCUGAUUUUUCUUCUUGCCUUAUACUGGGUUCUUUAACACCAGAACAAAAAUAAAUAAAUAAAAGAAUCUUCCAGAAAUUCAUGAAGAGACUUCAGGUCAGGAAAGCCUGAACUUUCUCAUCCAACACCCGUUCAAGUCGGAGGAUGCUGAUUAAUUCAUGAUGGAAAGGUAUCAAUUUCACAGCCCAGACCUCUACAUUCUUGAAAUGCUCUUCUCAUGGGAGACAUUAAAUAAGCUUUGAAUUAACUUAAGCCCUUAAGUAAAAGUGCCAUCAAAUGAUUUCUCAGAAAUUAUAAAGAAACAAAAGGACCAUAAACAAGAUAAGGUGGCAUGAGGAAACAUUACAAGUACCUUUCAGAGCUGACUGGCAAAGAAACUCCUGAGGUGACGGUUCUACCCCAAUAUUACUUCUUCGAAGAGCAACCUAACUGGACUUAUCUUCCUCAGUUCUCUGUGAUGAACUUUUGUAGAGCCAUACGAAAGGAGGUUUUUAGCUCUCACCUGUGGUCUUUCUUCAUCAUGCACCUCCUAGA
rnacentral:lncRNA from 1 species